CCUACGGGGGGCAGCAGUGGGGAAUAUUGCACAAUGGGGGAAACCCUGAUGCAGCGACGCCGCGUGAGUGAAGAAGUAUUUCGGUAUGUAAAGCUCUAUCAGCAGGGAAGAAAAUGACGGUACCUGAUUAAGAAGCCCCGGCUAACUACGUGCCAGCAGCCGCGGUAAUACGUAGGGGGCAAGCGUUAUCCGGAUUUACUGGGUGUAAAGGGAGCGUAGACGGCAGCACAAGUCUGGAGUGAAAUGCCGGGGCUUAACCCCGGAACUGCUUUGGAAACUGUGCAGCUAGAGUGCAGGAGAGGUAAGUGGAAUUCCUAGUGUAGCGGUGAAAUGCGGAGAUAUUAGGAGGAACACCAGUGGCGAAGGCGGGUUACUGGACUGUAACUGACGUUGAGGCUCGAAAGCGUGGGGAGCAAACAGGAUUAGAUACCCCUGUAGUC
rnacentral:rRNA from 1 species